CUCCUUCUGGAGGCAGCAGUGGGGAAUAUUGCACAAUGGGGGAAACCCUGAUGCAGCGACGCCGCGUGAAGGAUGAAGUAUUUCGGUAUGUAAACUUCUAUCAGCAGGGAAGAAAAUGACGGUACCUGACUAAGAAGCCCCGGCUAACUACGUGCCAGCAGCCGCGGUAAUACGUAGGGGGCAAGCGUUAUCCGGAUUUACUGGGUGUAAAGGGAGCGUAGACGGCAUUGCAAGCCAGAUGUGAAAGCCCGGGGCUCAACCCCGGGACUGCAUUUGGAACUGUAGAGCUAGAGUGUCGGAGAGGCAAGUGGAAUUCCUAGUGUAGCGGUGAAAUGCGUAGAUAUUAGGAGGAACACCAGUGGCGAAGGCGGCUUGCUGGACGAUGACUGACGUUGAGGCUCGAAAGCGUGGGGAGCAAACAGGAUUAGAUACCCUGGUAGUCCACGCCGUAAACGAUGACUACUAGGUGUCGGGUAGCAAAGCUAUUCGGUGCCGCAGCAAACGCAAUAAGUAGUCCACCUGGGGAGUACGUUCGCAAGAAUGAAACUCAAAGGAAUUGACGGGGGCCCGCACAAGCGGAGGAACAUGUGGUUUAAUUCGAUGAUACGCGAGGAACCUUACCCGGGCUUAAAUUGCAGAUGAAUUACGGUGAAAGCCGUAAGCCGCAAGGCAUCUGUGAAGGUGCUGCAUGGUUGUCGUCAGCUCGUGCCGUGAGGUGUCGGCUUAAGUGCCAUAACGAGCGCAACCCUUGUUGUCAGUUACUAACAGGUUCUGCUGAGGACUCUGACAAGACUGCCAUCGUAAGAUGUGAGGAAGGUGGGGAUGACGUCAAAUCAGCACGGCCCUUACGUCCGGGGCUACACACGUGUUACAAUGGGGGGUACAGAGGGCCGCUACCACGCGAGUGGAUGCCAAUCCCAAAAACCUCUCUCAGUUCGGACUGGAGUCUGCAACCCGACUCCACGAAGCUGGAUUCGCUAGUAAUCGCGCAUCAGCCACGGCGCGGUGAAUACGUUCCCGGGCCUUGUACACACCGC
rnacentral:rRNA from 1 species